GACAAGUCAGGAUUAACCAUAAUUACAUUACCUCGUUUAAAAAGUAUCGUUUACUGAAUUAAAGCUCUAGGACAUCUGGAGUUAUAAAGCGUAGAAUUGUUAGGAUAUGUCGAGAUUUAACUGCGGCAAUAUUGCAGAAAGUAGAGUACAGAGUCGAAUAUACAUAUACAUACGCAUUGAAAAUCUCUACAUUGAGAAAUUAGUCUAAGAUUUUAAGUAAUAGGGUCCUUUUCAAUGCUGUGACAUACGUAUGAACGUAUAAUAUAUUAUGUGUAUACGCUAUUACAUAAGUAAGGUAUAUGGAGGUUCGAUCGUGCAGUUUCUAUGUGUCUUGGUAUUAUGCUAAUAUCCAUUAUGUUAAUGUGUCAAGAAUAUCUCGUGUGAAAGAAGCAAGCAAAGGUUCAUUUAUCACCGGUCAGACAUGUGAGGCUGAGAACAAUGAAACAAUGCCCCCUGCUACUCGCUUUGGUUCAUAAACAAAGUGUAAAGGUAAUUUUACGGAGCUUUAAUCAAGGAAAGAUGUGAUUGCUUAUUCAAAAGCUACUGUAAUAUUAUACAAAAAC
rnacentral:misc_RNA from 1 species